UACGUAGGGCGCAAGCGUUGUCCGGAAUUAUUGGGCGUAAAGAGCUCGUAGGCGGUCUGUUGCGUCCGCUGUGAAAACUCGGGGCUUAACCCCGAGCCUGCAGUGGAUACGGGCAGACUAGAGGUAGGUAGGGGAGAAUGGAAUUCCUGGUGUAGCGGUGAAAUGCGCAGAUAUCAGGAGGAACACCGGUGGCGAAGGCGGCUCACUGGACUGGUAUUGACGCUGAGGUGCGAAAGCGUGGGGAGCAAACAGG
rnacentral:rRNA from 1 species